rnacentral:tRNA from 1 species
GCGCCGGUAGCUCAGUCGGACAGAGCAUCGGAUUUCUAAUCCGAAAGUCGCAGGUUCGAGUCCUGCCCGGCGCG